UGUCCCUGUGUGCAGAGGUCAGAGCAGGCCCAGGCUCUGCCCCAGGCCCAACAGUGGCCCCAGAGCCACGGGCAGGGCUGAGCCCAGCAGUUGCCCUGGCACAGGAGGCAGAGCUUCUGCCCUGGGCAGUGCCCAGCCCUGAGCAGACUGUGCAGAGAGGCUCUGGACUCUCCUCUCUGGGGAUAUUCCAGAGCCAUUGGGACACAAUCCUGUGCUCUGGGAUGUCCCUGCUGGAGCAGGGAGGUGGCUCCAGAGGAGCCCCUGAGGUCCCUUCCUGGGACUGAAGCAUGAAUCUGAAAUUCCCAGCGCAGUAGUGCUGCAGGGCAGGGAGGAGAGAUUGUGGAUUUUGCUGCAGGCCAGCUUGCUGAGUGCCCAGACACCCAGGAACUCACAGCAGCUCCCAGGAAGAUGCAGUGAAGCUCUGGAAUCACCAUAUUUUCUGGAUAUUCCAGGAUUUUAUGAUAAUUAACUGAUACUUGAGAUGAAGAUUUGGCCACGCCUGAGCCCCUCUGAUUUAACCAGGCGGGCAAGAAGAGGAGUCUGAAACCUGUGAGCUGUGGGUAACUGCAAAAUUUGUGCAUAUAAACACAAAUGGAACAAACCAGAGCAUUGGGGCAACUUCAGCAGGAACCCACAGCAAAGACCCCGGGGCUUCUCUUUGAUUUCUCUUUCAUUUUUCCCUGAUCCACUCUCAGGCCUUUAAAUUUCUGCUACACGUCAAGGAGAAACUUGUGUUCCUGGCCUUGCUCAAACGGGUUAUUUCUGCCUCAUCCCAUCUCAGUCACUUAUUGUCAUAUAAUUCACAAUAAAGCUCAAGCUGGAAAAUGGA